rnacentral:ncRNA from 1 species
GAAAGUUGGAGGUUCGAAGACGAUCAGAUACCAUCGUAGUUCCGACCAUAAACGAUGCUGACUGGUGAUCCGUCAGCAUUAUUCCCAUGACCCGCCGGCCAGCUCCUGGGAAACUGAAGUCUUUGGGU